rnacentral:rRNA from 1 species
GGAAUAUUGCGCAAUGGGGGAAACCCUGACGCAGCAACGCCGCGUGGAGGAUGAAGGCCUUCGGGUCGUAAACUCCUGUCAGAUGGGACGAAAAAGCUCGAGCGAAACACUCGGGCCCUUGACGGUACCAUCAGAGGAAGCCCCGGCGAACCCCGUGCCGGCAGCCGCGGUAAUACGGAGGGGGCAAGCGUUAUUCGGAAUUAUUGGGCGUAAAGGGCGCGUAGGCGGCGUGGUAAGUCAAAGGUGAAAUCCCUCGGCCCAACCGAGGACCUGCCUUUGAAACUGCCUAGCUUGAGGCCGGGAGAGGGUAGUGGAAUUCCCAGUGUAGCGGUGAAAUGCGUAGAUAUUGGGAGGAACACCAGUGGCGAAGGCGACUGCCUGGACCGGUUCUGACGCUGAGGCGCGAAAGCGUGGGGAGCAAAC